CCCUGAUGGCUCAAGCAGGUAAAGAAUCUGCCUGCAAAGCAGGAGACCCAGGUUCUAUCCCUGGGUCAGGAA
rnacentral:tRNA from 1 species